AAGUCGUAACAAGGUUUCCGUAGGUGAACCUGCGGAAGGAUCAUUACUGAUCAAUCACUUUGUUCCUAUCUACUCCUGUCUAGGAGUAUGAUAAGUACAAGGCGUUGACUCUCUACCCUUGUCUUUGUACAUACCUGUUUCCUUGGUAGGCUUGCCUACCAACUGGACAACCUAAACCCAAUGUAUUUGCAAUCAGUAUCUAAAUCACAAUAGUUACAACUUUCAACAACGGAUCUCUUGGUUCUA
rnacentral:misc_RNA from 1 species